UACAGAGACUGCAAGCGUUAUUCGGAUUCACUGGGCGUAAAGCGUGCGCAGGCGGUUGUGCAAGACAGAUGUGAAAUCCCCGGGCUCAACCUGGGAACUGCAUUUGUGACUGCACGGCUAGAGUGUGUCAGAGGGGGGUAGAAUUCCACGUGUAGCAGUGAAAUGCGUAGAUAUGUGGAGGAAUACCGAUGGCGAAGGCAGCCCCCUGGGAUAACACUGACGCUCAUGCACGAAAGCGUGGGGAGCAAACAGG
rnacentral:rRNA from 1 species